rnacentral:rRNA from 1 species
UACGGAGGGGGCUAGCGUUGUUCGGAAUUACUGGGCGUAAAGCGCACGUAGGCGGCUUUGUAAGUUAGAGGUGAAAGCCCGGGGCUCAACCCCGGAAUUGCCUUUAAGACUGCAUCGCUAGAAUUGUGGAGAGGUAAGUGGAAUUCCGAGUGUAGAGGUGAAAUUCGUAGAUAUUCGGAAGAACACCGGUGGCGAAGGCGGCUCUCUGGACCGAUACUGACGCUGAGGCGCGAAAGCGUGGGGAGCAAACAGG